rnacentral:piRNA from 1 species
UGGCAAGCCACAAAUGCAGAGCAUGAAUUC